UGUAUCUCUAGGAACAGCCAUCAUGUAAGACAUUUCUAACUGAAAGAUGUAAUACGUGAUUGGUGUUCCCAGAGUUUAC
ncrna:Caenorhabditis briggsae microRNA cbr-mir-70 precursor